GACGAACGCUGGCGGCGUGCCUAAUACAUGCAAGUCGAACGAGAGCAACCGGUGCUUGCACUGGUCAAUCUAGUGGCGAACGGGUGAGUAACACGUGGGUAACCUGCCCAUCAGAGGGGGAUAACAUCCGGAAACGGAUGCUAAAACCGCAUAGGUCUUCGAACCGCAUGGUUUGAAGAGGAAAAGAGGCGCAAGCUUCUGCUAAUGGAUGGACCCGCGGUGCAUUAGCUAGUUGGUGAGGUAACGGCUCACCAAGGCCGUGAUGCAUAGCCGACCUGAGAGGGUGAUCGGCCACAUUGGGACUGAGACACGGCCCAAACUCCUACGGGAGGCAGCAGUAGGGAAUCUUCCGCAAUGGACGCAAGUCUGACGGAGCAACGCCGCGUGAGUGAAGAAGGUUUUCGGAUCGUAAAACUCUGUUGUUAGAGAAGAACAAGUGCUAGAGUAACUGUUAGCGCCUUGACGGUAUCUAACCAGAAAGCCACGGCUAACUACGUG
rnacentral:rRNA from 1 species